AAGAAAUGCCUUCUGUGAAACUUCACAUGUGGUACCUGUAAGUCAGAGUGAAAUCCUACCUCAUAAAUAUUCCCAGUAUUUUAUAAGAUUCUGAAUAGCAAUAAAUAACAUUCCUUGCCCCUUUGAGUCUGGAAUCUUCCAGACAAUGAAACAAGUUCCAGGCCAAUUUUCCUAGGAGGGCCUUGUAGUUAUUGGCUGCACACAUCAUGUGCAAUCCUUAUUCUUUAAUGGUGAGCUUGUGAAACCAUAUCAAAUAAGAAUCAUUCUCAAAUACAAAACACCAAUUAUGGUCCUGGUUGCACAAUUAAUUUUUGCAAUGAUACUCUAGUAAGAAGGUGGACAGACUCUCAUUGAAAACAUGCAAAUAACCACAUUUUCAUUAAAAAUAAGAAGACUCCGUAGAAGUAUUUGAAUUCCGAGGGGAAUCAGAUGUCAUUUACCAAAUAUUUCAUUUCAAUUGGGAAAAGCAUAGUCUCCUAAAUUAUGAGUAGAAAUAGAUCUAAAACAAAGAAAAAGAGCUUUCUUAUAUACUGAUUAAAUAAUAGAACUUUAAACCUAAUACUAAAUGUAUUCCAAAAUAAAUAACUACAUUUAAAUGUUUUCCAUUGUUUCAUUUAGUUUGAUGUAAUUAAUUUUUGUUUUACUUUCAAGAAAUUGUCUCCUUCUGGAGUAAAAAAACUUGUUUUGCAAAUCCUGGCUUUGUCUUCAGGAAAAGUUAGUUGCUUAAGUAAUGUCAUCUUUAAGUUCUAAACUCUGACCCCUGAGUCUUUGCCUUAAAAUCACUGGUACAGACCUUCCAAUGAGUUAUUGAGACUGCCUUUUGACGAAGAUAAAAAUUCAAGCCUGUGGUUUAUAUAUAGCAGAGUCUUCAGGCAAGCAUCCAGGGUAGGACAGAAAAACCUGAUUGGUAAUGAAUCUAAAUGCUGUAAUUGAUUUAUCACAGUAACCAAUAAUAUAAAAAAACGCAAGAGUAUAAAAUUCUCUAUUUCAGUAAAUUGCAUAACAUUUUCAUGAGGAUUUGACCAAUGUUUCUCCUGAGGAUAAGAAAACAUAGUGGACAGUAAGGAUAUUAACACAUUUCCAGGGCCUUUCCAUCUAUUCUGUAAGGCAGCGGUUUUUACCCUUUAUCGGGCAUCAGUAUCACUUGAAAGACUUAUUAAAACACAGAUUGCUGGAUCCCAUCCUCAUAAUUUCUCAUUUGGUAAGCCUGGGAUGGGGCUCUAUAAUUUGCAUUUUUAACAAGGUCCUGGACGAUGAUGUCUAAGAACCUCAUUUUGAGAAAUGCUGCUGUAAAGAGUAUAAUCCCUGAAACUGUUUUACUAAUAAUAUUUAACGCACACACAUUUAUCCUUUGAUUUGACAACUUACAAUAGUAUUGAGCUCAUUGAGAAAUAUGGAGCAUACCUGUGCUUUCUAGCAUCCCUCUUUUUAUAAGGCAACAGAAGACAUAUUUGUGAUUAUCCAGGGGCUGAGUGUAAAACCUCCAAGUUAGUUUUAGAUAAUAAUAAAAAGUAUCGUAAAAAUUUGUCCUUUUCUAAAUUUGAGUUCUGAUCUUGAGAAGGUUAACUCAAGAGUUUUUACAAGUGAUUUCUUACCUGAUUAGGCAAGAUCCAGGGCUUCCUGAGGUAGAAUAGUUGGCUACUUAUUGAAUCAAGGUAACAGUACAAUAUUUUAAAAUAAACAUAGCAGAAGGUAAGGUGGCUGCAGGAGAUUGUGGCGGGCAUGAAAGUGAACUGCCCAGAUUCCAGUUCAUGGAGGCACUUGGUGCCCAGCUGUCGGCAGGCUGCCUUAAACUAUCAACUCCCUCAGGGCUGUGCUCAGCUAACAUCUCCCAGGGUGGCCCAUAACCAGUGACCCAUCAGGUCUUGGGUAUAAAGCCCUGGCCAUUUUGGUCCAAUGUUGGAUACUCUGAUGAGCCAUUUGUGUUCCGGAGCUCCCCUAGGGUUGGGAACUGCAGCGUUGUUUGACUUCUGCCAAUUCCUUACCUUGCUUCUGCCCUGCCCUGUCCCUGGAGAUGUUGAGCCCUGCCCACCAAAGUAUUUCAGCAUCUGCUUCUGCAGAAUCCAUUCUCUGAUGACCUUAGCACUGUUAUGAGAACAAACUUUUAUUUGUUUUAAUGAUAAUCAAAGACAUUGUAAAGCAACACAAAGCACAGAAAAUUAAUCUGCUGUAUGGAAUACUAUUUGGACAGGUUACACAGAAGUGAAGAAUAAUCAUUUAUUACCCAUUGUUCAGACUAAAUAUUUUAAGAUCAGUUGUCAUUUCAACAGACAGAAACUGACUUUCUAGUUUGCAUGAAUACUUGUUUGUGUUAAUUUCUAGCUGGCAGUAAAGUGUUCUCAAGCUUCUUUACAAAUUAACAAGAAUAAGUCCAUUAAGGCUGUGCAAACUUUUUCAAAAUUUUAACAUAAUUCAUUAUUUUCAGACUUGGAUAUUAUAAACCAAGGUAAAUAAAGUUCACUUCCCUCAAAAUGUCUACAACUUGCUAGACAAACUUAAAUUUUGUUCUUCUCUGUGAUGUUUUAUAGUUUAGAACAAGCUGACACUUUCAUUUAGGUCAACACUGCUCUCAUUUUUCUAGGAAAACAAAAACAUAUCUCAUAAUUUUGCAUACAGAGUUGUAUUCCUCUGAUGCUCUGUUUCUGGUAUAAUCUCAGUUACCCAUGCUAAAUGUAACUUCCACCAAAUAAACUAACUUCGAUUUUGCCAAGAGAUAGGUCAUUCAUAAUUUUCUAUCACAUAAGCAGUUUAGCAAACUAGUCAGGAAAGCUCAGUCCCUGUAGCCACAUGCAUCAGUUUUAUGCGUUCUUAAAAUGUCAAGAAUGAGCAAAUUUAAUAAUAUUAUUUAAAACUGUAGCCACUCUAUAAUAUAUUAAAGAAGCAAAAGUACAUAUAUUAAAACUGUACUUGGGUUUCAGUAUUCUCUUUUACUUAGAAAUUAUCCAGGUGUCUGAAGAUUAUCCAAUAAUUAACUCUAUUUAAAAUUAGUCCAACUUUUUGUAGUUAACUAAGGACUUUGAAAAUCACAUUGAGGUUGAAACUCUACAGAACAUCAGAACAUAAUUGCUGUUUAUAUCCAAAAGCCUAUCAAAUUUAUAAUUAAUUUUAGUAGAACAUGGUUUUAUAUGUUUCAAAUUUAAAAAAAUAAUGUAGGAGUAGGGUUAGCUUAUUUGAUCAAUAAACCUGUAUAAGAAGUUUUGCAAAUUUAUUUAAAAAUUUUAAAAAUUCUUAUACUAAACUCUAAUUACAAGAAAGAUAUGUAGCUAUUUUCUUAAUCAAAAUUAUCAACCAGUCUUAUUUGUCCAAUGGUUCAUCUUGAUUAUGUGAAUUUAGAUUAUUAUAUACAACAUGUUUCUGGGCUAGAAGUUAAUUUGUUUUGUCUUAAAAUGCUAUCACAUUUAAAUUUCAGUUUAUUUUCUGGGGGAAUUUAAAGAAUGUUCUACUUACAUAAGCAUUUACUACAUCAAUACAAUACAAAGCUUCUUUAUUUUGAGGGACUUUAUCUUCAAAUUUAUUAAUACUCCUCAGAGGUAGGAAAAUUUUCAAAUUCACACAAUGAGAGGUUAAGGCUUUUCUCAAUUAUAGACACACAGACACAUUUCACUUACAUAAUCUGAGCCACAGGUUUUGCAAAGUCAACAGAAACACAAAAACCUCACCAAUUUCUGUCUCAAAGAGCUGUUUUCCUUUUUAGUGGGUACAAAAUAUAUUCUUAAUUGAUUUGGGGACAUAAAGAGACAUACACAAAAAAAAAUUAUCUUUGGUCUCUCCCCUGACAGAGGGCAGAUGUCCAUCAUCCUGAUACAGACCAUCAAGGCCUCCAGUGGGAAAUAAUGCAUUGGCUGUGCACAAACUAGAAUCAGAACUGAAUGAGGCCAAGAACCAGAAACAAAACAAAAACACAGACAGGAAACUAAAAAGAGAAACAGAAAGUCAGCAAGAGAGUCUACUGCUGCUUGAGAUUCACUCAGAGAGCCAAGAAAAGAUGUGCCUGGGUUUAAACAACGCAAGAACUUAUAUUUCUUGGCCAACAUGGAUUAAUUGGCCUUGGCAGGCAUGUGAUUUCCGACCUCUGGCCUCUGCACCUGUUAAAGUCUGGCGUGCUCAACUCUGUCCCUCAUGGAGUAGGUGCACCCCUCUCUAAGAGGAGCCUUUUCAUGCUCUUGAGGGCACUUGGGAAACUGUUUUGGGACGUUAUUGUCCCUGUCAGUGGAAGAUGUAAAGGACAUAGCCAACCAAGUAAGAGGAUCACAAAGGUAUAGGAGUUUUCUCUUGCUCUUAAAAGCUUUGAAAUCGUCGGGUACGGUGGCUCAUGCCUGUAAUCCCAGCACUUUGGGAGGCCGAGGUGGGUGGAUCACGAGGUCAAGAGUUCGAGACCAGCCUGACCAACAUGGUGAAACCCCAUCUCUACUAAAAUACAAAAAUUAGCUGGGUACACGCCUGUAAUCCCAGCUACUCAGGAAGCUGAAGCAGGAGAACUGCUUGAACCCAAGAGGUGGAAGUUGCAGUGAGCUGAGAUUGCACCACUGCACUCCAGCCUGGGUGACACAGUGAGACUCCAUCUCAAAAAAAAAAAAAAAAUUUUGAAACCAUAGAUAUCAUUGUAUUGCAAUGGCAGAGGUAAAUAAGCAGAACUUAUAUCUAAUGAUGAACUUAAUGUUUCUGACACGUUCAUAAUCUUAUUGUAGACACAACAAUACUUGGAGGUAGACAUUAUUACUCUUUGUUUACAGAAGAGGAAACUGAGGCUCAGAAAAUUUAAGUUGCUCAUUUUUGCACAGUUGAUAUUUUACAGUUGGCUGGACAACUUAAAGAGGUAAAGUAGGGGUAGCUUUCAUAAAUUUUAAACACUAAUGAUAUGCUAAGAACAAAAAACAGAUUCCUAAUGCUUUGACAUUUACAGAAUAUUUCAAGAGAAAAAACAUUUAAUUUUAAGAAAACAUUUUUUCUAUGAAUUUUAUUUUCAAAGGGUUUUAGAAAGGUUAUGCAUUGUCAGUCUCCCUGUAUUUAUAACAAACACAUGCAUCUAGCCUAUUUUUAAAGACUAUAUUGUUACUACUUGAGUUAUUCCUGAGAUUGAGUUUAUAUACAGCCAGAGGAUCUCAGUUCUUCCUUAGGGCCUGGUUCACCCUUAGUAUAUAAUGUAAUGAUGUGAAUUUCAGAGCCAAGGUACAUUGCAACCAAAUAUUGUGAAAUUUAAUGGACUAACUCAGAUUUGUCUUUUAUCUUCAGAAUUUUCAAAAGUGUAAAUUUCCUUUUUCAAGAUUUGGAACCAACCCAAAUGCCCAUCAAUGCCUGACUGGAUAAAUAAAAUGUGGCACAUAUACUCCAUGAAAUACUAUGCAGCCAUAAAAAACAAUGAGUUCAUGUCCUUUGCAGGGACAUGGAUGAAGCUGGAAACCAUCAUUCUCAGCAAACUAACACAAGAACAGAAAACUAAACACCACAUAUUCUCCCUCAUAAGUGGGAGUUGAACAAUUAGAACACAUGGAUACGGGGAGGGGAACGUCACACACCAGGGCCCGUCGGGGGGUUGGGGGCAAGGGGAGGGAUAGCAUUAGGAGAAAUACCUAAUGUAGGUGACGGGUUGAUGGGAGCAGCAAAUCACCAUGGCACGUGUAUACUUAUGUAACAAACCUGCAUGUUCUGCAUAUGUAUCUCAGAACUUAAAGUAUAAUUAAAAAAAAAGAAAAACAUGACAAAGAUGCCUCCACCUGCACUCUUACGAUUCAAUAUUAUAGCUGUCAGGCAAGACAAAAAUUAACAUGUGAUCAUUUACCAAGGGGGGCUUAAUUUUUUACCUGUGAGUUUAAGGCUACUUUCUAACAUAAGUAAAACUGGUCCUUUUAGUUAAUUUUAGUUUCUGUAUCUACAGUCAUACAUGAAAAUUUCCCGUGUUAGACUCACAAUACUUUGAACGUUUUACUGCUUUUCGGUUGUCAAGAGUAAAGGAGAAAGUCAUUUAGAUUUAUGGUGAUUAUUAUAACUAUGAUUUGGGGACAGGCGCACAAUAUAGGAUGUAUGAUGUUAGUUCAGUUAAGCAAUCACUUAGAGGGAAGCUGGUAUGUUCCAGGUACUAUGCUAGGAGAUAGAGCUAUAAAAAUGGAAAAGACGUAUUUCCUGCUCUCAAAGAUCUCUCAAGGUAGUGGAGUGUUAGAUGUACUAAAAUAGUAAGAGUCAAAUGAGCGGAGAGGGAAUUUAAGAGGAACAUUGAUACCUAACAUGGUGGCAUAUGGCCCAUCAGCCUUUCCGACCUUGCUCUCCAGGUGUUCCUCCAGAGCUGUGGACUCUUCCUCAUAAACUCUGGAUACUUUAAAAAGGACAUGGAUGUCGGCAGGAGUUACAUGAAAAUGCUUCAGUGACAUUUUGGUUGCUCAGCUCCCCAAGGCUAAAGUAAUGAUUCUUUUUGUCUGGGAAAUCUUCCCUCUUCAGCCAUCCUUGUAGCUUCAUAUAGAGAAAGAAGAGGAACUGUCAGAUCAAUUAGAUCAACAGGGUAGUAUUUCGCUGUCAAAUCAACUUCAUACCUUUGUGCUACAAAGCAAUUCCUUGACUGGCCCAGGAGAGUCCAUGAGCAGAGAUGACUGGAUCUCCCUACAGUGUUCUUUCUCACAUCUGGCUCCAUUUUCUUUGAGAGGCCAUACUGUGAGCCAGUGUAUGAGAAGAGAAGGAGGGAUUGGAUUGAUGAAGGAGCUGGAUUCCAUGCAUUAACGCACAUGGGUCUGCCCACCAGCCUGGCAGCAAUUCCACCCAAAUCACCUUGCUAUGAUAGGUUAUGACCUCUAUAGCAUCUACAGAUAUAGAUAUAAAAUCCAUAUAGGAUCUCAGAGCAAGCUUUGAAGAGUAAGGGAUAAAAUGAAUAACACAAUCAAUACAAAAACACUAAUAGAGGGUCUCAGAGCCACAUUCUAAGAUUAAUGGAGGAAAUAAACAAAGCAAUAGAUGGAAAAUAUUUGCUCUGUUGUCUAGCUUUUUACACCCAUCAUUUUCCAGGUCUUUCUCUUUAUCCUGCCGACACGUUUGACAGAUAUAACAUUUAUCUAAGUAUGAAACAGCUGUCUGUGAGGAUAUAACACCCUCACCUCCCACAUUAUACCACCAAAGAUGCAGCUCAUAUUCCUAAGGGAAGCUGAAUUUGAAGAGACAGAGUGUGUGUGCCACCCCCAUGAUUUUCUAUGGGACACAGGGACGUGCAGAAUCCUAGAAAUGUGUCAGCUAAAUAGUCUGGUUGAACACGCUGACUGAGAGUCUGGGUAGCACAAGUGGUUAGUUAGCUCAGUAACUCAGCUGAAAGGAAGUAUGUGAGCUGAUGAUGCAAAUAAUAUUUGCUUCAAUUAUAGCAGCUAUCUCAGUACUAGUCAAUUUUAGUAGUUCAGGUAAUAAUGUCUUUUGAAUAUACCAAUUGUAUGCCUUGAGUUUCCUUCUCCUUUUCCCUUCUUUUAGAUCCUAGUCCAGUUAGAAUCCUCUCCUGUGGCAGCAUGGGCUCCAGAGGUUAAAUAACAAUUAAACUCCAUCUCAUCCUUCUCAGAAUGUCUUGCUAUUCUGAGAAACUAUAGAUGGUUCUUCCAAGUUGAUCAAAUAUAAUCCCAGUGGAAAGCUACUAGAAUUGUGAGUUCAGCCUUUAUCAUAAGCGGUUUCUCUGUCUUUAUAGCAAUAGUGUAUAUAAAAAAAUCCCUGUUGCAUUUCCCAUAUGUAUGAUUCAAUAGGAAUUGAGUAGACUCUGUAAGGGAGAGUUGUCUUGAAAUCUUUUGAAUUAGAUAUGAUCCAAAAAUCAAUGUAGUAACACGGGUUUAUUCCACUGGAACAUCUCUGUGCACUAUAAAUUCUUUGAGGCAGAAACCCUGCCUUAUAAAUCUUUGAACCCCCCACAGAGUCUGGUACCCUACUUUUAACAGGAAAGAUUCUCAAUAAAUAAUUGCUGGUAAAACAUAUAUGCUUUUGAAGCAAUGUUUUCUUACUUUGAAGAAUGAGUUAUUUCGGUAAUUUUAGAAGAGUGAAACACGAUACUUAUUUUAUUAUAAUCUCUUGCACCAACUGCUUCAAAUUAGUUUCAUCAGCAUCUUUUAAAAAAUGUUUGUAAAAAACCAUUAAUAAAUCCAGCCUCAAACUUCCCUUCAGAAUUAAUGCAAUCUGUUUGGGGAAGAUAAGAAUGAGGAUAUUUUGCAAUUUGUAAAGUGAAAACUCACUCAAUCUGGAUUUGACCCUUGUCAACCAUAUACACACUGAUUCUUCUUAUAUCCUAGAAUAAAAUUAUUAAAGAUAGAACUGCUGUGUCGUCUAACGUGAAGAAGUUUGUCACGUGCAUUCCUCCUCACCCACGGAAGUCUUUAUUUCUGAAAUGAUUGAAUUAUAAUACUUUUCUUCUCCCUCCUGCUAUCUAAUGCAGUUUUACCUCCUUUGUAUGUCUUAAUGUUACUGAAAAUUCUGUUUAUGUGUGUGAGUUGAAUUUUUUUUUUUUGAGAUGGAGUUUCACUCUUGUUUCCCAGGUUGCAGUGCAAUGGCAUGAUCUCAGCUCACUGCAACCUCCGCCUCCUGGGUUCAAGUGAUUCUCCUGUCUCAGCCUCCCGAUUAGCUGGGAUUAUAGGCAUAUGCCACCACGCCCAGCUAAUUUUGUAUUUUUAGUAGAGACGGGGUUUCUCCAUGUUGGUCAGCCUGGUGUCGAACUCCUGAGCUCAGGUGAUCUACCCGCCUCGGCCUCCCAAUGUGUUGGGAUUACAGGUGUGAGCCACCGCACUUGGCCAGAUUUUUUAAAAUUAUUGAAAAUACACUUCUGUGAUGCUGUGGUAGCAAUGCUAUCACAUUCUGACAUUUGGCUUUUCCCUUUCUCUAUGUUUUUCCCUUUACUAUAAUCCCAAUUUCUUAACUAGAUGAAAGUUCAGUAGUUUAGGAUUAAAGCCAGUGCUUUAACCUAGACCAUUAACCUGGUGAAGAUGAAGGAACAAUUGAAGUAACUUCUUCUCUCUCUCUUCUAUAGGAGAUUGCCCCCCACACACACACAUGCACACACACAUACGUGUAAUAUGUCAUGCCCCAUCUUCUUCAACCUAACAGUAAUUUGGGAUUCCCCAUCUGAUGGGCGCUCACACAAUGAUCUCUUUCAUAUACAGGGUGGUAAUUUCACUCUAAACACUUCAAUUAUUUAUAAAUGGAUCUCAGAGACAGCAACUAGCAGCUGGGCUAUAGAAGCAGCUCUGACUGAGGCGUGGCCAAUAGAACCACAUGUCACUUUAAACAGUGUUAUUAAUAUUUAUGUGACUUGAUCAGCUAGUUUAGAUGCAGGUCUUCCCUGGGCUGUGUGGAAGAAGCCUUCCUAUUUUUGCUCGCCUGUAAUUAUAGACUGAUUCUUUUCUUUGUCAAACUUGAGGGGUAAUCGAAGGUCAGGUUCCUGGGAUGAAAAGUGUGCCAAACACAUCCAAGUCAUAACGCUUUCACCACUCUUCCAUCAGCAAUUUGGAGUCAAUUAAAACUUAGGUCUGGAAGUAGAAGAUCUAGAAGCCCAAACUGUCAAUCUUGGACAAAGAUUCUGGUUUUAACUUUUAACAGGGUGAAAUUGAUUAUGUAAACUGCACUAAAAAAUCUGGCAUAAGGUAAACUACCAAAACAGAUUAAGAUAUUCAGGUAAAUGAAUUUACAGCUUUAAAAGAGAAAUACAUGCAUUGAUACAUAGCUACAGAUAUAGAUAGAUACGCAUGUGGUAGAUCAUCAGUGUACCUAAAGGGCACUGCUGCACACUUUGGGUCUCGCUUGCUUCCUGAAAAAUGUCGUCUUUGCUCUCAAGGACAAUAUAUUUGUAUUACAAUCUAAAGCAGGAUCCUUCCUGCUCCAUAAUCUAUUCAUGAAAAAGCAUAUGGCAUUGGUUUCUGAGAGCUCCAUAAUUUCUCAAGUCAAAUACAAAUGUUGAAAAAGUCCAAUUCUAGUCCUGAUGAAACAAUGGUGAUUCCUUUGGAAAAGAUGAUGCACAUUUGGUUCAGAAUCUGUCUUCUGCAUUUCCUAUCUGGUGAUGUCCCUGACAAUGGUGGCUCAUCAGCUCAAUGCUGGCAACCUUGAGCCUGUGGGGUGACAACCAUUAGAGGGCAGCACAGUUACAUUUUCUUAGCCGUGAACCUGAGGAAACAGACGAUGCAUGCAUUCCUUGCACGAUUCUUCAUGAUUGAGGUAAUGGUCUCAGCCACAAGGCAUUUUUUCUCCCUCCCCAUUUGGCCUGAUUGACAGUAGAAGCUUAUAGUAACAAAGGAAGCUGUAUCAGUAAAAUGUCAGUGGAGGAACAGAAUUUAACUUUUGUGUAAAGUUAUAUUUCCUUAUAUUAAAAUGACUCCGUUUAGUACCUUAUUCUUUCUUAACCAGACAACAGUUGACCUUUCUGAUAUAGUUUUCUCAUUAUCGUUUGUCCCUUUGUGAGUGUGUGUGUGUGUGUGUGUGUGUGUGUGUGUGUGUGUGUGUAGUUUAGAAAUUUUAAGCAAACAAAUUAUUUCCCACCUAAAAAAGUCCAAAUUCCCAAAUCUUCCAUGACCCAGCACUAUAGCAAAAAGAGCAAUUGUGAAAAGAUAGGUUUAAACACUUAAGAACUAAUGACCUGAAAUAAUGACAAAUCACCUUGUAUGUUAUCUCAUUUGUUAGCAAUGGACGUCUUAGCUAUAGCUGCCAGGGAGAUGAGCUCUGGGUAAAUAAUCCAUAAUUACAGUAGAGUAGAUGAAGAUUGAUUGAUAAAGGGAAGUUUUUAUCCUUUGGGAUCAAAGAACUUUUCCUUUGACUUUGCUGAUGAAUUAAUUGUUACAGGAUAAAAAAACACAGACAGUGUAGCAUGCUGCACAAUUAAAAUACUCUCUACCUGAGAACUUAACUCAGUAGAUCAAAGACUGUCUCAGGAGUAGGAAUGAACUCAGCAGCUGAAAGGGUGGAGCACAGAGCACAGUAGUGCCCCGGAACCCAGAGUGACCCAGGAGUGCUCAUUCCACAGGCCAGUGGGCCGGAAACUGGAGUAAUGAGAUAAUCAGCUCAGUCUUUAAACAACCAAAGCCAACAUUUUCCCCAAUUCUUGCUCUUUUCCCUUCCUUUACUCUGACCACCCAAGGAUCUACUUUCUGCUGAGGCGAGGCUUGACAGAAAUAAUUCAAGAUGCUGAAUUUGAAAACAGAAACAAAUUUUACAUGUAGAAAGAUAAAAAGAAUCAAGUUGAGCUGGAGAGUGGUUGCAGAUAAUUAGCAUGUAUGCAGGUUCCUCACACUGAACAUAGACGGGUAUUUGCUUCCCUUUUUUAUGGAGUGGGAAUAAGAGGUAAUAGGUGGGGAGUUUUGACUGGGUGCCGGAGGCUUGAAUAUAUACCACCAAGGGAAAUAUAAAAGGUCAAAGAAAUAUUCAGUGCACAUUCUAGAGAUUGAAUAAAAGCUUGUAUUACUGAAUUAACUUUUUAAUCAACCAAUCUGUUAGUCAAGGCCAAUGUUCUCAUUUUUUUCCUACUUACUUUGACAUCAUUUUUGACUCAAAUACUAAGAGCUUUGGCAGAAUUGUGCUUUAGGGAGCUUGACAGACAGUGAAAAACAGAAACACAGACACAUGCACACAUGCACAACUUGACUCACUGUGAUUUUCACUGCCACUUUCAAUCAGCACCACUAUUUUUAAUCAUUAGGUUGCAUAGUCUAUGAUCUUAAAGCAGAUUAUACCUUUGCAUUACUCUACAUUAACAGCACCAUGAUUUAUGCUAAUAGGUCUGAUUAACUGGGUAGGGUAGCCUAUGUCUGAACACAAGGUCAGGUGCAUUCAAGUGAUGCCAGACAUCCGAGCACAAUUCUUAGGGGUGGGAAGUUUGGCUAUGAUGUGUGACAGUGAUGAGUGACUUAGGAGGAAGAGAGGGAGGGUUUGGUGAGCAGCUUGGGUAUCACAGCACUGUCCCAAGACUCUUUUUACCAAGCAAGCCACAGAUUUGUGCCUACGUGGGAAUAAUGCUACACACCUCAUCCAUUGCAUCAUUUAUAACACUUACUGUUUGCUUUUCUUUCCCAUUAGACUAAAAUCUAUUUGUGGCCAGAGGCAAUAUAUUAGUUUUCUAGGGCUGUCAUAACAAAUACCACAAACUGGGUGGCUUAAACACAAACAUUUGUUGUCAAUUUUAGUGUCAAUAUUGGAUGCUAGAAGUCUGAGAUCAACAUGGUAGCAGGGUUGGUUCCUUCUGAGGAGUGGGAAGAAUAAUCCAUCCCAUGCCUCUCCUCUAGCAUCUUGUGGUUUGCUGGCAAUCUUUGAUGGUCUGGCUUUUAGAAGGAUCGCUCCAAUCUUAGCUUUGAUCUUCAUCUGGAGUUCUCCUUGUGUGUUUACAUUGUCUUCCCUGUAUGCAUCUGUCCCCAAAUUUCCACUUUUCAUAAAGACACCAGUCAUAUUGGAUUAGUGGCCCACCACUUCAAUCUGGCCUCAUCCUGAUACAAGUAAUGACAUCUGCAAUGACCUAUUUCCAAGUAAGUUCACAUUUUGAGGUACUGGGGUUUAUGAUUUCAUGUGAGCUUUUUUGGGGGAGGAUACAAUUCAACCCAUAACAGGCAGAACCAUAUUCAAUAUUGCAUAUUUAAUUUAUUUAAAUAUAGCCUUGCAGUUGGCCCUUUAUCUGCUCAGAGUUAAACAUAAUAUUAUUUUAAAAGGUGUAAUAGAAAUACUUUUAUGAUGGUUUAUGCAUUUUUAAAAUUUCUAAUUGGAAUAGUGUAAUUUUCUAAAUAAUGUAGCUCUACACAGUGUAGGUCUUGGAAUUAACAUAACAACCAGUUGAGACAAUCAGGGAAUAUUACUUUCCUUCCCCGUCUUCGACAUAAGAGCGCUUUGGUAAAUCCAAACCUCCAUGGCAUCCCCACCAAGCAGAUUAUAAGGCUUAAUAAUCCUCAGUAUCACCAAGUUCUCUUUGUCUUUAAAUCCCCUAGGCUUCAGAUUAAGUUGCUUCCUUUUGUUUCUGCCUUCACGGAAACAAAGAACAGUUGGCCAAUGUGUUCAGUAGAAGAACUUUUAUCUACCUGGCAAACAUUAUUAGGUUUCCUCUUUACAUUUUAUCCACUAAAUGAUAAUCUAACGUUCACAUAGGUUCUAUUUUCACUCUUCAUUGUCUUUGUGGCUUUUGCAAAACUGCUCCAGGAUCUUCUGACACUCUUAGUUAUCUCGGUACUAGAGACCAUUUCCAGGCAGGAUGUAAGAAAAUAAAUUGAUUGGAGUUCAAACAGCAAGAUGAAUACAGAACUUCAAACAGUGGGGUAAUCACUUAUAUUUGGGACACAUGUGCCAUAUACAUUUGCCCAAGUAGAAAACAUAAUAUUGAUUACAAAGUGUGCAUGUGGGGUGGAUGUGCCAAAGCCAUCCACAGAGGCACUCUGCUGGCUUCCUGUUUGCUGUUUUGUCUUUCAUUCUUUUUUUUUUUUUUCAGAUGGAGUCUCACUCUAUCGCCAGGCUGGAGUGCAAUGGCACGAUCUCAGCUCACUGCAACCUCUGCCUCCUGGGUUCAAGUGAUUAUCCUGCCUCAGCUUCCUGAGUAGAUGGGACUACAGGCACAAGUGACCACGCACAGCUAAUUUUUGUAUUUUUAAUAGAGACGGGGUUUCACCAUGUUGGCCAGGAUGGUCUCGAGCUCUUGACCUCGUGAUCUGCCCACCUCGGCCUCCCAAAGUGCUGGGAUUAUAGGUGUGAGCAACCACGUCCGGCCUUUGUCUUUCAUUCUUAUUUCCCCUCUGUCCAGUUAUCAUGGUCUCAUUACUUGCUCACUUAAUUUAUUGUGUAACUGGAUAGUCAGAAAACAAAAGCCUCCUUCCAGUAUCUCAUUCCCCACAUGCAACCCUUGGAAUGAGAGGGUCAGAGUUUCUAAAAGGCCAUUCGGGUGGUGUAUUAGUCAGGGUUCUCUAGACAAACAGAACUAAUGGGAUAGAUGUAUAUAUGAAGGAGAGUUUAUUAGGAGAAUUGACUCACACGAUCACGAGGUGAAGUCCCAUGAUAGGCCGUCUGCAAGCUGCAGAACCAGGAAGCCAGUCCAAGUCCCAAAACAUCAAAAGUAGAGAAGCCAGUAGUGCAGCCUUCAAUCCGUGGCCAAAGGCCAGAAAGCCCCUGGCAAAUCACUGGUGUAAGUCCAAGAGUCCAAAAGCUGAAGAACUUCUAGUCUGAUGUUCGAGGGUAGGAAGCACCCAGCACAGUAGAAAGAUGGAGGCCAGAAGACUUAGCCAGUCUAUUCUUUCCACGUUUGUCUGCCUGCUUCUACCUGGCCGUGCUGACAUCUGAUUAGAUGGUGCACACCCAGAUUGAGGGUGGGUCUGCCUUUCCCAGUCAACUGACUCAAAUGUUAAUCUCUUUUGGCAACAAGCUCACAGACCACCUAGGAACAAUAGUUUGCAUCCUUCAGUCCAAUCAAGUUGAAACUCAAUAUUAACCAUCACAGGUGGGAUCCUGAGAAAUUGAACUGACAGAAGGGCAUUAGAAGCCAAUGUGUUUCAGGAGAUUUGGGAUAUCCAGACACUAGGAAGAAGAAAUGGGUUUAUUGGUCUCAGGAGUAGCUGAGACCAGCCUCCAGUUACCCAGCUUCCAUGUGAAAGUCCCUGAGAAGCUGAAGGUGGGGGUUGUAAUAGGAAUGGAGGUGGUGGUAGUGGGAACAAAACACUAAAAUUUUUAUCCUGGGGAGGUGAGGGAAAUUUUCAUGAAAGUAAUACAGCCACCCAUCUUCAAGCACAAUGGAUAAGAAAAGAUGGGCUUUCUGCAGAUAUUCUGGACCAUGUGUGCACCACAGGAAAUGCAAACAUUUGUGAGAUUGGGAAAGACCAGUCUCAAAAAUAGCUAAGAUAGAACUUACUGCCAUCCUAGUGGGAUGUGGGAUGGUUUCUUUAUUCUUUAUUCUCUUUCUUUUCUUUUCUUUUUUUUUUUUUUUUUCAGAGCCUCAUUCUAUUGCCUAGGCUGGAGUGCACUGGCAUGAUUAUAGCUCACUGCAGCCUCAACUUCCCAGGCUCAAGGGAAUCUCCCACCUCAGCCUCUUGAGUAGCUGGGACUACAAGUGUGUACCACCAUGCCCAGCUAAUUAAAAAAAAAUUUUUUUUUCUAGAGAUGAGGUCUUACUGUGUCGACAAGGCUGGUCUUGUACUCCUGGCCUCACAUUUGAGAGGCCUCUUAUGUUGGCCUCCCAAAGUGCUGGAUUACAGGCAUGAGCCACCAUGUCUGGCCCCCACUACUGGGAUGGUUUCUAAACAUAUAACAUUUGAUUUAGGAGAAAGGAGAAAGUAACUUUUCUUUUUCUUCUUCUUCUUUUUUUUUAACAUCUAGCAUUACAGGAUAAAAUUCAUGUCUAUUAGUCAGCGUUUUCUUUUCCAUUACCAUGGUUACCAAUGAUGAUGAUGAUGAUGAUGAUGAUAAUAGCUGGUAUUCAUCAAACUAUUGCUGUGUAACAGACACUAAGCUAAAUGCUUUACAUGAAUCAAUUUCACUUUCACAGUAGUUACUAUUAUUAAUCCCUUUUUACAGGUAGAAAAUUGAGGCUGGAGAGUUUAUGUAAAUUCUUCAUGUUUACAAAGCAAUUAAACACAAGAGCUGCAUGAACUUGCACUCUCCAUUCACCUCACCCUGUUCUGAUGAAACUCUAUAUGCUAUGCUGCCUUUAUAUUGAUCAAAGUGUUGACAAAUGAAUGAAUAUGCAUCCAGAAGUAGGGCUGGACAAUAAUUUAUCUCUUUUUUUCACCCUAACCCUUAAUUUGUGAUUCUUGAUUAAUGGAUACUUAAUGAAUCGAAAGAGAAUUGGAAACAAUUUUGCAAAGAAAGGAGAAAAUAGCUUUAAGAUAUAUGAGAAGAGGGACACAUCAAGAGAUUGUUUUUGCUGAUAAAGCAAGGUAUCUGUAUGUACAUGCUGAUAAAUUAUAGAUUGCAUUAUAGCUCUUGUUAUUCCUGUAUCCCUCCCUCUUUUCUAAGACAUCAUGUAAUUUUUUUCCUAUUGCAUUUCAGAUUUCUGCAUAUUAUACCAGGAACUCUUAACUCUGUGGUGGAAUGAGCUGGUGAGGACUGCUCCCCACAAAGGAAUAAAGCCAAAAUUAAAAUCUCUCUUUUUUAUGUUUCUUUCUUUCUCUCUCUCUCUCAAACUUGACACAAGAAGAAAAAUCACCAGGUGCCAGAAAUGAAGUGGAAACUCACAAACAAUGCCAUUCUGAUCUAGUAGAGGAGCAGUUAGUGAAUAUUUUCUGUAAAGGGCCAGAUAGAUACCUUAGGCUUUUGAGGCCAUAUGGUCUAUGUUAUAACUAUUAUAGCCCAGAAGUAACAGAAAAUAUGUAUAUGAAUGAAUGUAGCAGUGUAGCAAUAAAAUUUUAUUUACAGAAAUAGGCAGCGGGCCAUAGAGUGCUGGCCACUGUAAUAAAAUAUCAAAAUCAACAUAAGCUCCAGAGUAGGGUCAAUGCCCACUGAUAUGGUUUGGCUCUGUGUCCCAACCCAAAUCUCAUCUCAAAUUGUAAUUCCCCACAUGCUGAGGGAGGGACCUGGUGGGAGGUGACUGGAUCAUGGGGGUGGUUUUUCCCAUGCUGUUCUCAUGAUAGUGAGGGAAUUCUCACAAGAUCUGACAGUUUAAAAGUUGCAGUUUCCGGGGAGGAGCCAAGAUGGCCGAAUAGGAACAGCUCCGGUCUACAGCUCCCAGCGUGACGACGCAGAAGACGGGUGAUUUCUGCCUUUCCAUCUGAGGUACCGGGUUCAUCUCACUAGGGAGUGCCAGACAGUGGGCGCAGGUCAGUGGGUGCGCGCACCGUGCGCGAGCCGAAGCAGGGUGAGGCAUUGCCUCACUCGGGAAGUGCAAGGGGUCAGGGAGUUCCCUUUCUGAGUCAAAGAAAGGGGUGAUGGACUCACCUGGAAAAUCGGGUCACUCCCACGCGAAUAUUGCGCUUUUCGGAACGGCUUAAAAAACGGCGCACCACGAGAUUAUAUCCGGCACCUGGCUCAGAGGGUCCUACGCCCACGGAAUCUCGCUGAUUGCU
rnacentral:lncRNA from 10 species